GUCUAUGGCCACACCACCCUGAACGUACCCAAUCUUGUUGGAUCUUGGAAGUUAAGCAGGGUCACACCUGGUUAGUACUUGGAUGGAAAACCGUAUGGGAAUACCAGAUGCUGUAGGCU
rnacentral:rRNA from 1 species